rnacentral:rRNA from 1 species
CAGAUGAUGCCUAUCAAACUGUUUAAAAGAUGGUUCUGCUAUCACUCUUGGAUGGACCUGCGGUGCAUUAGCUAGUUGGUAGGGUAACGGGCCUACCAAGGCGAUGAUGCAUAGCCCGAGUUGAGAGACUGAUCGGCCACAUUGGGGACUGAGACACGGGCCCAAACUCCUACGGGAGGCAGCAGUAGGGAAUCUUCCACAAUGGACGCAAGUCUGAUGGAGCAAACGCCGCGUGAGUGAAGAAGGGUUUCGGCUCGUAAAAAGCUCUGUUGUUGGUGAAGAAGGAUAGAGGUAGUAACUGGCCCUUUAUUUGACGGUAAUCAACCCAGAAAGUCACGGGCUAACUACGUGCCCAGCAGCCGCGGUAAAU